rnacentral:rRNA from 1 species
GAUGAACGCUAGCGGCAGGCCUAAUACAUGCAAGUCGAGGGAGAAUGUUGGAUUCGUCUGACAUGAAACCGGCGCACGGGUGCGUAACACGUAUGCAACCUACCUUUAACUGGGGUAUAGCUCAGAGAAAUCUGAAUUAAUCCCCCAUAAGACUACGACAUGGCAUCAUGAUGUAGUUAAAGCUCCGGCGGGUAAGGAUGGGCAUGCGGUACAUUAGCUAGUUGGUGAGGUAAUGGCUCAACAAGGCUACGAUGUAUAGGGGGUCUGAGAGGAUGAUCCCCCAGACUGGGACUGAGACACGGACCAGACUCCUACGGGAGGCAGCAGUAGGGAAUAUUGGUCAAUGGACGCAAGUCUGAACCAGCCAUGCCGCGUGAAGGAUGAAGGCCCUAUGGGUCGUAAACUUCUUUUAUUAGGGAAGAAAAAACGGGAUGCGUCCUGUACUGACGGUACUUAAUGAAUAAGGAUCGGCUAACUCCGUGCCAGCCACCGCAGUAA